rnacentral:lncRNA from 1 species
AGGGGCUCGUUUUCAGGCUGGAGCAGCUGGAAGGAUGACUGCUGUCAUGCACACAGACAGGGAGAGACCAUGCGGGCAGGUUGCUUUGGCUUUUUAAGCAGGAGUAAGGAUCAGGAGCAGAGUUUUGGACACGCGUGGCUUGGUGAGCGGUGUGUAGGUCCGUGCCUGGGAUCGGAACCCGAAGACCCCAGGCCGCUGAAUCAGAGCGCGCAGAACUUUAACGACUCGGCCGUGGGCUGGGCCCAUGGGGCACUUUUAAGAGAGAAAAGGAGGACGAGACCCACAGUGGUGAAAGUAAUCGACUCCUGAGCUGCUUUGCUUGAAAAGGGAUCAAAGAAACGACAUAGUCGCUGGGGAGAGGAGCAGAGUCAAGAGCGUCAUACACAAAAGCAGAGUGAGUUAAUGGUUUACGGGGAACGGAGAGCAUCAGGAGACGUCAGCCGUCAGCAGUCCUACCUCUGGGAAUUCCUCCCACAGAAACGCGCUGACGAAUACUCGCAGAGAUGUGUUUUUGAAAGAUGUUUUAACACAUCUUAAAUGUCUAUAAUAACAAACAACUGGAAAUAAAAUCCACAAAUGAUAGUAGGUUAAUAAGUUAAGAUAUAUACAUAGAAAGAGAUACUAUAAUCUGAGAAUAAAUACCAGAAAGAUGUAGACAUUCACCACAUAUUAAGAGCAACUUGUUGGAUAACUGCACGUUUAUUGCAAAUUUACGUGCCUCUGUAUAUAGAAAAAAAGUCAGUGUUAACAAUGGCAUUUUUUCUAAGUAGUGGGAUUACGAGGUUUUUUAUGGGACUAUGGUUUUCCUUUUUGCUGAUCAACAUUUGUAACUUUUUUAUGAGUAUGUGUUAUAUAAACAGGACAUAAGUUUCCAAGAUUUGCCAUCUUUGAAGGCCCACGUGAAAGCCACCUGUUGUAAUAUUCCGCAAUUUCCUUCCCUCCACUGAAAUUGGAAAUGAAUCAGAAUUUCCUCUGAAUCCUCACAGCGAAUUAGUUAUUCAAUGUUAUAGCACUUAUCUGAGUCAGCUGUAUUCUAUUGCAAAAAUAAGUUAGUUAACUCAUGAAAUGGUGUGUGUGACUCCUGACGCACGGGGAUGUGCUCGGCCCUUGGACCCAGCAGCCUGCACUCGCGGUAACGGCUUGCCGAGCUGCUGCGGUAUUUCAGCUCCAGAAGUCACACCUGGUGGACCGCAGCCGAGAGUCUUUCCUGAGCCCUCCGUUGUGGAUGCUCCUUGUUGUUUCUCCCCACACCGACAGGCAGAGCACAUUGUUCCCGCGGGCUUCUCGGCGAAGAUCGUUCUGCUCAGGACCCCAGGCAGUCUGAAAGUCAGACUACUACCUCUAAACUUCUGAGUAUUUUAGAACUGAGGAGAGGAGAGUCUUUCCAUGUUCUACUGAAUUCUCUCACUUCUCUUUAUCUCUUUAAAUUGGCUUGUCUUCACCCAUUUGAUUGCUCUGUUUUUUCUUAAUGCCCUUGAACUCAACAUUGUUAAUUUGCUAUUAUAUUUCAAGAAGUGCCAAGACGUCGAGGUUUUCUGGUUCUACUGGUUUGUAGACCACUGGACAUGGGGAGUUUGGUUUUGUUGUUGCACGUUGCAUCUUCUGCCCACCAAUGGAGAAAAAGUCCCUGAAAACUGAUGGUCGGGGAAGAUUGAAAUGAACUAAAGAUGUGGGUAAAAUGUAGGGUCUUUUUCCAUAUUUAAUUUCUAAACUAGUAAAUGCAUUUGAGCUUUAGCAAACUGGUCAGUGCACUUUCUCAAGAUGCUAUUACAAGAAUUAAAUAAGCGUCUAUUGGAUUAGGAUGGCUGAAAUCAGAGGUCGGCAGGCAGCGCUGUGACGAGUCACAGCCCAAAGCCGGUCCAGGAGCCCCAGGGUCACCUAAAGUUCAGCAGAUCUGGCCUUGGUUUUGUUGGACUUUGGCCUGAUAAUCUGGAAGAAAAGAGAUACAAACAGUUUGACUAAAUCCACUAACAAUAGGGACUGAAAGAGGAAGCUCCAGAACGGUUUUUAAACCAAGCAAGUGUGCCAAUAAAAAAUAAAAUUAUUGAUACGGAGUUUACUAGAAAAAUAUGAGCAGUUAUGGAACUGGGGGCUUGAAGAAAGAAUUCACAAAAAUGUUGUGAACGAAUAAUGAACAUAAAAUAGAGUGGAAGGCCUUACGUGUCAGUUGUGUGAUUUUGACAGUGUUGUUU